GGUAAAAUGGCUGAUUUAAGCGUUAAGUUGUAAACUUAAUUAUGGGCAAGCCCUUUUAUCA
rnacentral:tRNA from 1 species